rnacentral:rRNA from 1 species
UACGAAGGGGGCUAGCGUUGUUCGGAUUUACUGGGCGUAAAGCGCACGUAGGCGGAUCGUUAAGUCAGGGGGUGAAAUCCUGGGGCUCAACCCCAGAACUGCCUUUGAUACUGGCGAUCUCGAGUCCGGAAGAGGUGAGUGGAACUCCUAGUGUAGAGGUGAAAUUCGUAGAUAUUCGCAAGAACACCAGUGGCGAAGGCGGCUCACUGGUCCGGUACUGACGCUGAGGUGCGAAAGCGUGGGGAGCAAACAGG